rnacentral:snRNA from 1 species
AGCUUUGCCAAGCAGAAAUAUCAUAGCCAGUGAGGUUUACCUGAAGCACAAUUCUUGCUAAUUGAAAACUUAAAAUAAUGUGUCUC